rnacentral:lncRNA from 1 species
GGUUCGUCUUUGCCUGGGGGCAGGGCUUCUGCUCAUUGACUGUUACAGCCUUGUCCCUGCUCACUGGCACUGAGAAUAAGUCUGCUAAAUGAAUGGGCGAGUGUGCCCAUGCUGUGAGCAUCCUCCCUGAACGUCCUCCCUGAAUGUCCUCCCUGAGCAUCCUCCCUGAGCAUCCUCCCUGAAUGUCCUCCCGGCAUCCCCCCUGAGCAUCCCUUGCUCUUUAUUGAGUCCUGCAUCUUUUAUUUCCUUUUGGCAGUGUUGCAGCAACAGCUACCAGUAGAGCAGAUCUUCUGCCAGGUGCUGCCUUGGUUCCUCCAUUUUUUCUAUCGGGUGGGCUGUAGACCCACGCUAACAGAAAGUGCCACCAGGGUAACAUCCAUGUCAUUGGUCACCAGUGUCCCUGCUGUUCAAACCUAGGCCCUGAAGUCUGUCUCCUGAGCCACCGUGUUAUGAUGCAGAGGAGCUUGGUCACUCCCAGGGACCCAGGAAAGCCCUCCGUAUUCUCAGAACCUUCUACCCUAGUGUCUUUAACUAGGUGCCCCACCACCAACAACCACACAGUCCUUUAUAACAGGUUUUAACCUUGUUUGAAGGGCUUUGGUGAUGGGACAUGAUUUAAAACCUUGUAAAAUAUGGAAUGAGGUCACAUCCUGAGAAAAUGAGGGAAUCCUUUAAGGCCUAGAAGAAUGUCGAUUUGAAUUUGGCGUGAUACCAGAAAGAUCUUUUGAGGUUUAUAUAUGACCUUCAAAGGCUGAAGCUGCAAAUUCUGAUGAGGGCCUACUUGGAACUCGGUGUUUGGGGUGUGGAGCACAGUUCUGGGUUCUCUUCUCAGUUCACAACUCCACCAGAGCACCACUCCAAGCCACACAUGUCUGCCCAUCGUGUGUCUUUCAUUCCAAAGUGCAUUGUGACUCACUGAGAACAUCAGUCCCUGCUCCAGAACAUUCUAGACCCUCCACUUAGGAGGAUUUGAUAACACCCGUGGGAAAGAAACAAGACUGUACAGCCCUGCUUUUUGUAGCCUUCUCUUAGCAGCCUGUGCCACAGGAAGUGGUAAGGGGUGUCGCAUGGCGUCUGAAAUGCUAUUUUUAAAGGCAUUGGAAUGAAAAGGCUGGGAACGGCGCUCGGUCGGUAGAGUGCUCGCUAUACAAGCAUGAGGAACAGAGUUUGAUCCCCAGCAUCCACAUAAAAAAAGGUGGUCGGAGCAGCAUGUCCUUGUAGUCCCAGCAGAUGAGAGGCAGAGACUGGCAGACCUCUGGCACUCGCUAGGCAUCCAGCAGCCAAGAGGUGGAUCAGGAAUGGCAUGGAGAAAAGUGACAUGAUGUGAACUAGGACCUAGAGAGAAGGUCUCAACACUGUCCUUUGCAGCCAAAGCUUGAGUAACAGCUAACCCAGCUGUUCUGUCUAAAUUGUCAACUGGAGCAAGAAGCCAGGAGACAAGGAGUUAAUGCAAAGAUUCGGGAAUGCUAUACCUGGUCCCUCUGUGCCACCACCCUCUGUGAUCCCGGAAGGGACAAUGCCCUUCUACUUAGCACCUCCAUGUUCCAAGAGAAAGAAAGGGGAGCUGGAGUCCAGCAGACUUGGAAAUCCUGGGCAGAACUUCAUCUCUGGACCCCAGAGCUAGAAACACUGGGGAAAGCUGAGAUCUCACACUGUUGGAGAUUGGUUCUCAUGCUUUGAUUCAAUCAGGAACCUGCAUGUCCAAACAGCAAGGUCCUUGUCACCAAUUGGUUUUUGAUCAAUCAAUAAAGAUGCCAGCACCAAUGGUUGGGCAAAGGGAAAUGGGGUGGGACCCUUAGAAUUGUGCGGCUCGGACUCGGGAGAGAGGAGGAGACGCUGAAUCACCACCACUGGGGGAGAGAGACAGAUCAGAUUUAGAGCUACAGAGGGAAGAUCAUCCGAAAUGUAAGGGUAAAGGGAAGGUUCCCUGGAAGGGCAGCCCAGAAGCAGACCAAUGGGCCUCACAGAAGGUAACAGGGCAGCAAAGUUAAAAGUAGAUUUAGAAGAUGUUGAGCCAGGAGUUCCAGAGGGUAAAGCAUACUAGCAGAGGGAGGCUCAGAACUGCCAAACCCUUGAGUAGCCAAGGCACUUCAAAAAUAAACUAAUGUGUGUGUGUCUUUCAUUCUCAGAACCAAAGAGUUCUUGGUCAGGUGGCUAGAAGUGUGCUCCCAGAUGCUACAACACGGGAGAGAAAAAAACUAAAGUAGCAAGAGAGAAGGUUCCUGGGUGCCCGCAUUGCUGAUAACCAGCAGCAUCUGACAGAAUGGGCAACAAGUUAGCAACUGUUUUGUGGGGCUUCCUACUACACGAGCAACGAAUGUAUAUUGUCAUUUAAGACAUAAAAAUGUAAAAAUAUAAGCUGGAGACGGCUCAAAGCUAAGUGCACUUGCUGGUUGUCCGUUCAUUCUUAGCAUCUUAGAACCAUCUCAACUGUUCUUAAGUGAUAUGACGCCCUCUUCUGGCUUCCAUGGGUACUGCAUGCAUGUGGUACAAAUACAGACAUGCAGGCACUCACUCAUACAGACAAAUAAAAACAAGUAAAUUUUAACUGCUGGCUUGACAAGCCUCGGAGAGUGGGGGAGGAAUCUAAAAUCUCCAUGCCUCUUCACAGCUAAGCACUGAGUUCUCCUGCCCUACUCAUCUGAAUCUUAUACUUAACACGAAUAGAACCACACUGUAGGGUGCUUUGAACUUAGACUUUUCUGGUAGUGUGGAGAAUUAAAAAAAAAAAAAAUCAAGAUCAUUAAAUGUCCUUUGCUGAACUGUGCGUUGUGGCUGCACACGCCCUUGAGCAAGGUACCAAGAUUUGUUUGACUGACUCCUUAGUAUUAAGCAUUCUGAUGCUAAUAAAGAUAAAAUGGGAGAGGUUGAUCCAGGGCUUCUCCUCACAGCUCGAUCUUGGAUCCAGUAGCUCCCUUCUGAGAACAUGGUGAAAGGAGACUUGGGGGCAUACUUCCAAGAACUUCUGAAAUAUCAGCCAAGUUGCCUUCCUUGUGGAAGUGCCCAUUCCCCACAAAGUUUUCACCUACCUGAUAAAUGGGUGACAGAGGACGCAGACCCAACUGUUGUCCAUCAAGCCUAGCUCCUUGACUGCCCGGCUGAGGUGGGAAGGAAUCGCUUGCACAGGCAUGAGACAAUGCUAGCCCUGGAGCAUAGGCAUCAGGACCCAAGGUUGGCCCCAGGUUCUCAGCAUUGGAGACAUCAUGGACAUGGGCACAGGUCUGAAAGAUCUGUGAUCUGUUAGGCAACCUGGGAAACGGCUCUGAUUCCAGCUUCAUAUGAUGUUGCCACUUAAGUUGUGUGAUCUUUGGGCUUCUCACCACUGUUUUCUAGGACCCAUAGACAGAAGAAAUGGAGACUAAUAAUGUCUCCUGUGCCCUUCCCCUAGCCUUGAGCAGGCUGCUCAGACCUGACUUGCUACAGCAGGCUAGCCCACCUAGGGUGGAAUCUUAGACCUAGGUAAAGUCUAUUGUCCUGCCACACCUGCAGCUUUCCUCCAAGACGCCACUACCUCCUAAGAGGCUGAACCUGUUCUCCAGACACUAUCCUGAUGCAACAACCCCCUUUAUAAGCUCAGACUCAUAAGUAAACAUUGGCCUUGAUCAGAACUUUGUCUUGGCUCGUUAUUUCUCUCGCAGCCUUUCCCAUCCAAAA